rnacentral:rRNA from 1 species
CAAGUCGCGUGCGCAGUUGCCGUAGCAAUACGGUGAUGGGCGCACGGCGCACGGGUGCGCAACACGUGGGCAAUCUGCCCUUUGAUGGGGAAUAACCCGCCGAAAGGCGGGCUAAUUCCGCAUAAGAUUCCCGGGACUUCGGUCUUGGGAUUGAAAGCAGCAAUGCGUCNAAGGAGGAGCCCGCGCCCGAUUAGCUAGUUGGUGAGGUAACGGCUCACCAAGGCUAUGAUCGGUAGCUGGUCUGAGAGGAUGAUCAGCCACACUGGAACUGAGACACGGUCCAGACUCCUACGGGAGGCAGCAGUGGGGAAUCUUGCACAAUGGGCGAAAGCCUGAUGCAGCGACGCCGCGUGGGGGAUGAAGCAUUUCGGUGUGUAAACCCCUUUCGACUGGGACGAAUGCCUCGCAAGAGGAGUGACGGUACCAGUAGAAGAAGCCCCGGCUAACUACGUGCCAGCAGCCGCGGUAAGACGUAGGGGGCCAGCGUUGUUCGGAAUUACUGGGUGUAAAGGGUUCGUAGGCGGUGCGGCAAGUUGGGAGUGAAAUCUUUGGGCUUAACCCAGAGGCUGCUUCCAAAACUGCUGUGCUCGAGUGUGAGAGAGGCGCGUGGAAUUGCAGGUGUAGCGGUGAAAUGCGUAGAUAUCUGCAGGAACACCCGUGGCGAAAGCGGCGCGCUGGAUCACUACUGACGCUGAGGAACGAAAGCUAGGGGAGCAAACAGGAUUAGAUACCCUGGUAGUCCUAGCCCUAAACGAUCAGGACUUGGGGUGCCGCCCGUUCGGGCGUCGUCCCGGAGCUAACGCGUUAAGUCCUGCACCUGGGGAGUACGGUCGCAAGACUGAAACUC